GUGUGUAACAUUAGUCCCAAGGCUUGUGCUGACUUUAAGAUUUGUGAAACAGACUUUGGGACUUGAAUGAAGUCACAAAACAAGGCAAAUGUGGAAGACAAAGAUAGCUCAUAAACUAGCACUUUAUUUAUUUAAGAACAAGACAGAAUGAAGUUUACAGACACUGUCUUCUGGUCCUCCAAACCCCUGCUUCCUCCACAUCAUAUACACACCAGAUUCAGGAUGUGCAUCCAUUCUCAAGGAAAUGGAUAUAAAAUGAUUCCUGGAGAUCUAGCCAUUACAUCUAAUUUCCAGUGUAAAAUAGGAAGAAAUGGGGGAAAAGGCAUAAUUUUAAAACAUGCUUUCUAGAAACCCUACCAAUAACUUCUGGUUCUGUCUCUCUGGCCAGAGCUCCAAUGUGGCCAGCACUAUUUCUGUUUUCCCAAUAAAAUCUGUUAGAAAAAUUUUAAUUGAAAAAUGGGUACUGGAUAAACUAGCAGGCCCCAUCACUCCCUAACUGGGACACCCAGAACAUGUUGAAACCUCUUAGGUAUGGAGAACAUGCAUGGGAAUGGAAGUUGGAAGUUGUCAGCCAAGGAGCCUGAGGACUCUCCCCACAGAGAUUCAUGGAUUCAGCUUUUCUCUGACAUACAUAGAAAGAAAAGUGUGACUACCUUCCAGAAGUUACUGCUAAGAAGCUUUAUUACAUUUUUCUCCUCAAAUAGUUGGAGCUUCAAAAAACUUGCAGUGCAUUUUAUGUGCAUGUGUAUAAUGUACAUGGAUAUUUGUAUUAACAGAUUUCUAAUAUCUACUUCACCCAAACACUGAAGCCCACAUAAACAGCCCAUCUAAACUCCUUUCAUAGAGAUUUAUGAAUAUUUAAAAAAUACCUACCCAAGAGCAAAUUUAUUGAUUGA